rnacentral:lncRNA from 1 species
GGCAGACCACCCAGGACUGACCGAGCCCAGCUCUGGCUGGCUGGCUACACCUACUCAGGACCAAGAGCUGCUACCUGGUUCCACACUACAGAGGCACAGGGGGACAUAAAGGCCAUUGUCCUGAGCUGCAGAAGUGAACAAGAGUGAGAGAGGGCCUCUCUCAGGCUCCCUGAUGAUAACUGAAGCCCCCUGGAAAAGUGAAGAGAAUCUCUGCAAUAAAGGCACACCAGACCACCAUACUUGAGCAUUGGAAGAAAAAUAUAAAACCCUAUGAGACCUACAAAGAAGAAAACCUGAACCUCAGAGAAAAUGAAAGGGCUGGGCUCUGUGAAGAUGCACAGAAGCAGAAGGCAUGAGCCACCCCUGGGAGGGGCUCCUGAUGUUUAAUCUGUGCAGGGGAAUCUCCUGGAGACAGGACACCUGAGGCCAGCGCACUUUGACAGUAUAAAUGACUCAUGUUUAGAUAUUGUUACAAUUCUG